GCAAUCAACCAGCAUUAUAGAUUUGAGUCAAAUACAAUUUCUUUAGUUGUCAAUGUAGAUGGCAUUCCUUAUUAAAGUCAUUAAACACACAGGUUCGGCCUAUAUUAUGUAUGUUUGACAAAAUGACACCAUUUACUGUAGCAUUAUUUGUUAGCGAUAUCGAGCAAAAUAAUUGUGAUGAUUUUUAAUAUGAUUUUUUGCACGAGUAUGAGUUAUUAUUUGCAAAUGGUUUUUUGUAUUAUAUAUAUAGCUUCAAUUAAUUCUUGAGAAAAGGUGAUGCUAAUGUGUCAAUAAAAAGUCAGAAAGUGUAAGCAUAGCCAUUUUCAAAAAGAUAGAGUCCCUUGAGGAAUUUUAUGAGCUUGAAAGAAAGACAACAAGGAGAACAGUAAAUUGCUUUGUCACCUCAUAAAAGCAGGUGGAAAAAUGUUAAAGAAAAUACAAAAAAUGUUAUGGUCAGAAUUAUGGAGCAUCAUGUUAAGCCCAAGUUCAAUAAGAAAAGCAAAAUUCGUGGUGAUAUAAAAAAGGUAUCAUUCGAAAAUAAAAAGUUGUGUAAAGCAAUAAUUUUGAAGUCAUCCAGCUAACGCACGAGAGUUCGACGGAAGCAAACAAAAGAUCAAAUAGGAAGCAUUUUAAAGUUUUCUCCAUUGAAG